UACAGAGGAGCCAAGCGUUGUCCGGAUUGACUGGGCGUAAAGCGCACGCAGGCGGACGCGCGCGUGGGGUGUGAAAUCUGGCCGCUUAACGGCCAGGCGCCAUCCCAUACGGCACGUCUGGAGCUAUGCAGAGGUCGGUGGAAUUGCCGGUGUAGUGGUGAAAUGCGUAGAGAUCGGCAGGAACACCCAGGGGGAAACCAGCCGACUGGGCAUAUGCUGACGCUGAGGUGCGAGAGCGUGGGGAGCGAACCGGAUUAGAUACCCGGGUAGUCCACGCCGUAAACGAUGGCCACUCGGCCUUUGGGGGCGGAUACUCCGUCCUUGGGGGCCUUAGCUAACGCGGGAAGUGGCCCGCCUGGGAACUACGAGCGCAAGCUUAAA
rnacentral:rRNA from 1 species